AAUGCUUUAAAGAAAUCACAAGAUUAUUUUAUUUAUGUUUUGUAGGUGCAAAGAAUAGCUGCUGAUGUGGAGAAAUGUUCGAUGCUUCAAGACUCUGAAGCUGAUUUUAUUAGGUCCACCCAGUGGCUUUUGACUAUUUGAGGGUCAGAUGGUUGUGAAUUCAUACCUCAACAUUGUGCGUCCCGGGAGCAGGCAUCUUUUGUACACAUUAAAUUUUUUCAAAGAUGUUUUCUUGGAAUCACAACACUCACUGGAUACAAGACGGAAACAUAGAGGCAAAACAAGUGGAAAAGUCUCAGAAGAGGGACAACCCUCAUGUGUGUGCUCAUCUCAGAGAGUUGAUGGACUUUCAGUAUGUAUUUAUUAAAUUGUCUUUUGCAGGACUAUUCUUAAUUUAAUAGAACAUAAGCUCAAACAACAGAAUUUGUGAUUUAAUGUUGAUUCCAGCAUUUCAUUUGAAUCCUUUUCUUUAAAACAUAUAUUUUUUUUAAAUUUUAACAUUUUUUUAAAAAUUAUACAAAUUCUGUUGAUUGACCUUCAUUUUUAUAGAAAGUUAAUGUUCUACUCUGAAUAUGGCUUUUUUUAAAUAGUUAUUUGUGAUGCUAUGCUAUUUUUAUGAUAAGAUUUAACUGUUGAAAGACUGAAAAUUUUAUUUUACCAGUAAAAGCCUUGCAAUGUCUUUCUGCCAGUUUUAAUAAAUACUUAUUUGCAUCAUCAUUGACUUGGUUUUCAUUCAUUUGUAAAU